AAACUACGGAAGGGAAAGAAGCUCACCUAGAUUGAUUAUCUGGAAGACGAGCCUGAUUAUUCAACUUAAAUUGGAACGUGGUGCACUGGAAGAAUUUUGGAGAAGGACAUUCAAGCAAGGGUAAAAGUGUGAUGAAUCGAAGUGCUAGACUUGGUUGGAUUUGCGAGUAGAAGUUGAGUAGAAAUAUUAUGUAAUCGAAAGAAAUAUUUGUGAACUUUUAGAAGAGUGAUGUAAGACUCUGAUGUAAGGUAAAAUAUGCCUUUAAGUUAUAUUAAGUUUGAGAUUAUGAAGA